AGAUUGAACGCUGGCGGCAUGCCUUACACAUGCAAGUCGAACGGUAACAGGGAGCUUGCUCCGCUGACGAGUGGCGAACGGGUGAGUAAUACAUCGGAACGUGCCCAGUAAUGGGGGAUAGCUCGGCGAAAGCCGGAUUAAUACCGCAUACGCCCUGAGGGGGAAAGUGGGGGAUCGCAAGACCUCACGUUAUUGGAGCGGCCGAUGGCUGAUUAGCUAGUUGGUAGGGUAAAGGCCUACCAAGGCGACGAUCAGUAGCUGGUCUGAGAGGACGAUCAGCCACACUGGGACUGAGACACGGCCCAGACUCCUACGGGAGGCAGCGAGUGGGGAAUUUUGGAACAAGUGGGGGAAACCCUGAUCCAGCAAUGCCGCGUGUGCGAAGAGGCUUGGUUGUAAGCUACUUUGUCGAGGAAGUAAAGUGUUUAGGUAACUACCGUG
rnacentral:rRNA from 1 species